rnacentral:rRNA from 1 species
UACGGGGGGAGCAAGCGUUGUUCGGAUUUACUGGGCGUAAAGGGCGCGUAGGCGGCCUCUGCAAGUCGACUGUGAAAUCUCCGGGCUUAACCCGGAAAGGUCAGCCGAUACUGCAGGGCUAGAGUGCAGAAGGGGCAACUGGAAUUCUCGGUGUAGCGGUGAAAUGCGUAGAGAUGACAUAGAACACCGAUUGCGAAGGCAGCUCACUACGCGAAUAUUGACACUGAGGCACGAAAGCGUGGGGAUCAAACAGG